UAAGGCACUGGGGCAUCUCUCUAAUCACACACUGGAACAGAUUGCCCCGAGAAGACUCACCCUCUCUGGAGAUACUUGAAAAUUAUGUGCAAAACAAUCCUGUGUUGUGUGCUUUAGUAUGACCCUGCUUGAACAGGGAGCUUGAAACAGGUAACACACUGUGGUUCCUUCCAACCUUACCCAUACUCUGAUUCUGUGAUUAUAGGAAUAGUUUUGUUCUGCUUUGUGAUGUCUGUAGUAACUCCAGCACUGCUGAUGACAGGUUGCCUGGUAAGUUCUGGUGAGGCAGUCCCACACAGACUACUUGCUGAAGAAGUUAAACACAUAUGGACAAAAUAUAAUACUCAAGUAAUAUACUACAAAAAUAAGAUUACUAGUUUUGAAGGGCAUUUAAUACAACCUAUUAUUCAGUCUUUAUUUGUGAACAGUUAAAGGAAUUAAGUGAACCCCGUUUAUCUAAUUACCAUUUGUAUUAAGGCUGUGAAAGGUAAUUAACUGUCUGGGAGGGAGUCUUGGUGGGUUUGAACUGCUCUGGUGGUUUUGUCUAAUACUGGUAUCAUAACUCUUUAUUUUAGGCGAAAGAGGACAACUCAAAGUUUUUUGCAGUUUUGACUGAGGGUAUCACACCUGCUUUGGCAGCAAGUUGCAAGCUCACAGCGAUGGUGUGCAGUUUCCCUGGUGCUAAGAUACAGCAGUGUGGCCAGGGACUAGUGCUGCCAAGUCUUACCUUCCUGUCCAUCUGCCUAAACAAAGAAUGAUGGUUUACAGCCUUGGCUCUUGUUACUGAGAACCUCUUACCAUGAACUCAAGGGCAGCUGGCAAAACAGUGUCCUGCUCCUGUCCAGAACAGGCUGUAUGAUGGUACUUGGGUGCAGUGGCUACAGUGAGGUACUGCAGGUGGGUGGCUGCACUCCUGCCUACAUCAUACUCUGAAGUAAAAGCUGAGCUUUUGCCCCAUAGUGAGGCUGUGAUUUCCCUAAGAUGAAGAUAGCUGGCUCCAAAAUGGGGCUUGCUUUUCUCUUUUCUUUUUCCUUCCUUUUUUUUAAUGCCACUCUCCUUUCUUUGACUUGAUGUUAGAUCUCAUCAGUGAGUGAUUUCAACUCAGCUCCCCAGCAGAAAACACAGCAAAAAGAAGGGGGAAGUCAGAUAAUUUUCUGUCAAUGUACUGAGCUGAAUCUGCUAAAAAAUUGAGGUGCAGACCCUCUUGGGGAGACAGAGGAUGGUGUUUGUCUACCAGCAUCACAGAGUCAUUAGCCUGGCUCAGAUACUUCAUCCCGUUAGAAACCCAUCAAAAGGAUAAUGCAAAUUCUGACUCUUCUGGAUCAUUUGUAGAUAUAUUAGAUGCCUUCAGAAUUAUCUACUGGCUUUGGGGAGAUUUUCUCAGUGCUACCAAGAGCAAAAUUUGGUCUUGAACUUAAGAUAAGAGGCUGAGUGCCAAAGCACAGGCCUACACGGUGCAAAGGGGUCUGCACUAAUCUUAGUGCUGACUUUCCCACAUGGCCUUCUCAGGACACCACAAUAAGAGUCAAACAUGGGGAUUAUAUGUGGAUGUCACUGGACUGAUCUGGAUGCAGCUGUGCACAUUACAUGCAUUUGGAUCUGUUCACAUGAUUGCACAUGUAGGUGGGCAGAGCUGUGGACACUUUGGAUGGUGUAAGCUCUGUUUUUUUAGUCAUCCGUGCAUGUAUUUAUGAUGUUGUGGUUUUGCACAAUGUUACAUGUCUUCAUGCAGUUAAUGGAAACUGAAGUCUGUGAUGCCUGGGUGUCACAAGCAGCUUGUUUUAUUUUCAGAAAUGUAUUUAUGCAACAAAAUGUAUUUUUAAGUUCAGGAGAAUGAAAUACUGUCAUGAACUACACUGUAAACUAAAUUUCAAGAUUACCUAAAAUAACAGGACAUACCGUUCACUUACAUAAUGCAAUAAUUCUGUGAUAGCAGCAUCAGGGCUACUGACAUAGAGGAUAAUCUAACAAUGGAAUCUGUGUCCCUGUUGCAUGUUCUCCUUUAUGAAGAGUAUCAACACUUUCAAGCUCUUUUUAGAAAUUCCUAUGGACUGAUACUCAGUCUCUAUAAAAUCGUUACCCUGUUAGAAAGCUGUGUAGGGAAUGACACACAAGCAGUGUUGUACUGUUGUGUGUUUGUGUCUUAGAUGUUUGUGACCAAAUCUUGUUCUGCUGUUUGUGCAAGUGAUGUGGGGGGUGGUAAGAUGGGGAUCAGAAAGAGCAGGUGCUGUGUCAUUCUAGAGCCCAGGCUGCCCUAAGGACUGAGACAGCUCUAAAGGAAAUUUGAGAUUCCUGUUGCACUAGGUUUCUUCCUGUUCAGCUCAUAUUUUACUUUUUCUUGUUAUCAUGUCUAUGUACAUCCCAUAAGUGAAUUGACUGACCUGGCUAGCACAUGUGAUGCAUGGGCUGAUCAUUUCAUCUGACAGCUGCAAAUGAUUGUGAUUGACUGAUCUGCCCCAACCCAAACAGCUCCACUCCCCUCACCUUUCCUGAUCCUCAGAUAUUCCUCCUUCCUGGUGUCUGCACUGUGGAGCAGGGAGACCAUUUUGUGCAGGGCUGCUCUUAGCUGGGAGCCCUGCCCAUCAAGUGACCUUGUGCUUUGGGGAUAACACGCUCAGGUGGACCACCUCGCGUGGGAUAUGUGGGGUUAUGGGAUACUUUGUGUGAGCACUCUGGAGACUUGCCUCUUGCAUGCUGGAAGCACCCUCCUUCCUCCCUCUCCUGCUUUUUGUGAGAGGCUUUCAAGUCAUGAAGUGAGAUGGAAUUUAUUCCUUUGUGGAGGACCAGGCCCACAUCUGUGUGCUGUGUAGCGCUCCACUGACAUCAUGGACUGACAAAUAGCACUGAGAUGACUGGUCCUCAACAGUAUGCAAAUUCUGGGCUCCCUCAGUCAUGGAGAGGAGUUCAGUUCAUGGUGCGAACAACGGGGCAUUAGGACCCAUCUAGCUCCCUGAACUUCCAGAGGCAGUGUGAACGUGUGUUAAAAAAGAGAACCUACAGGAUGCAGAACUGUCAUUUUGUUUUUCUGAAACGAGCCAGUUCAUCCCUCUGGAUUAGUUUAGAGAAGGAUUUCUCACGAUGAAACAUGGCAGGAAAUGGGUCUGCCCUUUUUAAUGAGGGUUGUUUGCUAAAUGUCACCAUGGUUCUUUGCUGUCCUUGUUCUUAAGGGGCAGGAUGUAUUUUCUCUUAUUUCUCUGCUUUCCUAUGUGGGCUGAAUUCUGCACUCAGGAAGAGUGGAGAGAAGAGACCAUCCAUUGUAAAGCACGGCUGUUUUCCUAGCCAGGAACUUGGUACUAUGCUUUCUGGUGAUGGUCCCCGUGCUGAGCCAUGUCUUGGUGGUUGUGGACACUGUAAUAGCUGGUGUCUUCCAGCUGUCUCUUUGCUCUGUGCAGAGCCAGCAUGAAGGUUGCAGCAUGAUUCUCCAAAAACAGAGAGCCCAGGAGCAACUUUUCAAGGACACACCUAUCAGCUGGGCAUCUGCAAGCCAAGAAGGGAGAAAGCCUUAAGCACAUUUAAAUGAAAUUAAAUUUCCAAAGAACAGCAUUGAAAAACACAUGAGGCUGUGCUUGACUUCUUCAAGGGUUUUGGAAAGCUAAGGGCCCCCAGAGUCCCAGGGUUCCACCUCUUUCAGAGGAGUGUAACUACAGCUGGUGAAGGAGUGACCCUUUGGAGGACAAGUUCUUUGAGCCCCCAGUGAGUUGCAUGGUUGCACUGCUUCCAGCUGCACUCCUGCAAACCAGGUUCCAGCCUGUUCCUCCCCACUGCACUAUGACUGGUGCCCUGCAAAGCCCUGUUGCCAUUGUUCUCCAGCACCUUGACUCUUCCUGGAAGCAGCAGAGAGGCAUUUACAGUGGAAAAUCCUGCAAAGCCGUGAAGCCUCACAGCCCAGAGAAACCUAUGAGUUUGUUGAAAAGUUUGACACUAUCCUCUCAAGUGGAACAUAUUUGAAGCAGUGGCAAUGUCUAAAGCUUUAAUUCCUAAACUGAUGUGGGAAAAUACGCAUUUGCCACAAAAUUUUCUUUUUACAUGAACUGAUGGAUCUCUGUCUCAAGAAAUUAAUUUAUUUUCUCUGUUUUCUCACUCAGCUGAUUAAUGGUAGUUGGUAAUGCAUACAAAACUCUAUUUAUUUUAUUAUACAAAUGCCACUAAAUGAGUUGUCUGUGCAUUAAAAAAUGGACUUACUGUUUCAAAGAUAUUAGGAUGCUUUUGGCUAAUCUUUUAUUCUUGUGCUCAGCAUUUAUUAAACAGCAUUUAUUGCUAUCUGAAAAACCAGUACCAUUUCAGAUUUCAAUAUGAUCUUUUGUAAUUAAAAGAGGUUUAUUUCACAGUAUUUAAGGUACUGGUAAGGUAGGUGCUAUCUUUGAAAUUCAGUGGGGUACUUUUAGUUGAAAUGAGAAGAGGUGUUUAGCUCUUUUAAACAAAGCUGUAGGAAUAUGUGAGUUCUUUUUGGUUACUACUGUUUGAUACAGUCUGUAAAUGUCAAUGAAAUAACAUGAGAGUCAAGUGAAGGAAAAAACAUCAAAAAAAUACAAAAUGUUUAGGAAAAAAUAGAAGACUAAGUGCUUUAAAGUAAUUAAUUUAACAGAUACUAUCUUCGCCACUUCAGCUGCUUUUCUUUUUCUUUUUUUUCUUUUUUCCUUUUCCUGCUUUUUUUUCUUUCUUUCUUUCUUUCUUUCUUUUUUUUUUUUUUUUUUUUCUUUUAAUGGACAAAAAACAACUCUCUGACAUGGCUCAUGCCUAGAAUUUUAUCUGCUUUCUGAAAGUUGUAAUCUUGCUGAGACUGCUCUUGUUACCAUUAUAGCAUGUUCUCAGCUGGCCUAGAUCACCUGUAGCGUUAUGGUCUGCUCCACAUUGCUCCUGCUUGCUAGGAUUCCUCUUUCUCUUCUGCUGUCACAUUUAAUUCACUUUCUAUAUGUAAAUUUCCAUCCUGAAAACAAACCGAUGCAGGCAACAUUGCCUGACUACCAUCAGUGGUGGAUAUGGAAGGCAAGGAUCAAAUACUAAAUGGCUUCAAAUUGAUUUUGAUAACUUUUGUGUAUGGAGACAAAUAUCCUAGUGCCUCUAAGGCUAAAGGUGCACUGAACAAUGAUUGCAGUAUCAGUCAUCUUGUGGACACCUUUGUUUUCUGCCUGGUGCCUAUGAUUCAGAUCUUGGAAGCUUUGCCUUCUUCAGGAGCUUUCUCUAUGAGCAGCUUGAAAGACUGGGUUCCUCUGCACAAGGCUGGAUGCAUGGAUGUGAAAUACAGGUGCAGAAGUAUUCAAGGCAUUCAGAGAUGUGCAGACAAAACAUGAAAUGAGAUCUGAAAGCUGUCAGGGGAGGAAAUGGUGAGAACCUGAUUUUGCACCUAUAUAUGGCAGUACCUGCAAGCUGGGUGGUGCUGCUGCCAGAGAGAAUUUGGUGCCACUUCUGCAGAGUGCUGUGAGAAGUGCAUGCCCAUGACUCUGCUUCCACCAAGUUUGCGCUGUUCCUGCAUUUCCUCCCCAGGCGCAUGGCUAGCCUCACUGGAAAUGAGUCUGAGGUGUGCAGGAGAGGACAUCACUUGGCCAUAGUGCUUGUUUUUGUCCAUGUGGCACAUCCAUCUCAGGGUUCAUCUUGAGAUCUGUCCAGGCAGAAGAACUACUCAAUACUGGAAGAAAAAGAAGUAGCAGAAUAUCCAAGUCAAACAAAAAGCAAUGGAAAGGCAGUGGAAAAGCCUGCCAAACACAAUGGAAGUUUUUGUCCUUUUUUUUAAAGAAGGCAAGAGUAAUCCUUAUCCUUUAAUAUCCUACUUUGUUUUAUACCAGAAUUAGAAAAUAUUUUCCAUUUGUUUUAAUUACCUACAGGCUUUAACUCUGUCUUUGAAGAGCAUUUUUGCUGUUACAACCCUUGGUAUAGUGAGCAGUGCUAGGAGAAACAGCUAACACAAGGAUUUUGUCUUUCCCUGCAUGCAAUGUUUAAUCUCUCUAAAUUUUUUAACAUGAAUGUAUUUUUUGCCAUUUUGUAAAUUGACAAGAUUAGCACAGUUUCUUCUAAAACAGCAGCUGAUAAACAUAUUUUGCUUAACUAAAUUUCCACCUAACUGUGAAUUCUCCAUAAUGAUCUAUUUGUUCUUAGAGUUGAACCUCUAAAAGGUUAACACUCACUCAAUGACUGUAACAACUUUUUUUUUAAGAACAGUUUGUAAACUGUUUGUAGGUUUUAAAAUAUAUUUUGUUUAUUAAAAAGAUUACACUAUCUUGCAUAAUAAUAAUAUUAAUAAUAAUUCUAUGCAUUGUGUGAUUCAGUGAUGUUGCUCUUGAAAUUUUGCAUGUCUUCUAGAUGUUCUGACAUUUGUACGUUUACGUGAUACUUGUAAAAAUCCUCAGCCUUGCUGCUAUGAUCACCACCAUUUUAGGUAAGUGAAAAUUGUACUGUGAAGCUGUGCCAGUUAGCAGGAUUUUUGUGUGUCAUACUAAAACUGCAUUUUGCUGAUCAUUUCUUGGUUUAUGCCAGUAUUUAGUGCCUUCUGUAGAAGGAAUCAAUAUGUUGUGGUAGAUGGGAUGUGCCAAAUUUCUAGUAUCUUGUCUGCACAGAUUAUCACUUACCAGCUUGAAGCUUAAAAAAAAA
ensembl:lncRNA